rnacentral:rRNA from 1 species
AUGGGAACGCGAAGAACCUUACCUAGACUUGACAUCUCCUGAAUAGUGUAGAGAUACAUGAAGCCCUUCGGGGCAGGAAGACAGGUGGUGCAUGGUUGUCGUCAGCUCGUGUCGUGAGAUGUUGGGUUAAGUCCCGCAACGAGCGCAACCCUUAUUGUUAGUUGCUACCAUUAAGUUGAGCACUCUAGCGAGACUGCCCGGGUUAACCGGGAGGAAGGUGGGGAUGACGUCAAAUCAUCAUGCCCCUUAUGUCUAGGGCAACACACGUGCUACAAUGGUGAGUACAGAUAGAUGCGAUACCGCAAGGUGGAGCCAAACUCUAAAAACUCAUCCCAGUUCGGAUUGUAGGCUGCAACUCGCCUACAUGAAGUUGGAGUUGCUAGUAAUCGCGAAUCAGAAUGUCGCGGUGAAUACGUUCCCGGGUCUUGUACACACCG